rnacentral:rRNA from 1 species
AUUGAACGCUGGCGGCAGGCCUAACACAUGCAAGUCGGGCGAGAGGCGGACGGGUGAGUAAUGUAUGGGGAUCUGACUGAUGGAGGGGGAUACCUCGUGGAAACGGUAGAUAAUACCGCAUACCAUCAGAUGAACCAUAAUGCGAUUAGCUUGUAGGUGAGGUAACGGCUCACCUAGGCGACGAUCCAUAGCUGGUCUGAGAGGAUGAUCAGCCACACUGGGACUGAGACACGGCCCAGACUCCUACGGGAGGCAGCAGUGGGGAAUAUUGCACAAUGGGCGAAAGCCUGAUGCAGCCAUGCCGCGUGUAUGAAGAAGGCCUUCGGGUUGUAAAGUACUUUCAGUAGGGAGGCGUUACCGACAGAAGAAGCACCGGCUAACUCCGUGCCAGCCGCCGCGGUAAUUC